rnacentral:ncRNA from 1 species
CGCUCCGGUGCCGCAGGCGGUCUCCUUCAAGGACCACGAGGAGGAAAGAACCCCACCAAGCCCCACCCCUCCCGCCCAGGCCGCCGACUCACUCGCUCGCUCACUCACGCGAGUGAACAUCGCCAACUCAGCUGGAUUCGGGAGCCAUUGCCUGCCCUACGCUCAGCGCAACACAACCGCAGACAUGCGACGGCCCUCGCCGGGACUGGCAUCCCAGUGCGAGGGCCUGACCACCGAGGAAGAGAGAGCUUCCCG